rnacentral:rRNA from 1 species
GAUGAACGCUGGCGGCGUGCCUAAUACAUGCAAGUCGAGCGAACGGACGAGAAGCUUGCUUUUCUGAUGUUAGCGGCGGACGGGUGAGUAACACGUGGAUAACCUACCUAUAAGACUGGGAUAACUUCGGGAAACCGGAGCUAAUACCGGAUAAUAUUUUGAACCGCAUGGUUCAAAAGUGAAAGACGGUCUUGCUGUCACUUAUAGAUGGAUCCGCGCUGCAUUAGCUAGUUGGUAAGGUAACGGCUUACCAAGGCAACGAUGCAUAGCCGACCUGAGAGGGUGGUCGGCCACACUGGAACUGAGACACGGUCCAGACUCCUACGGGAGGCAGCAGUAGGGAAUCUUCCGCAGUGGGCGAAAGCCUGACGGAGCAACGCCGCGUGAGUGAUGAAGGUCUUCGGAUCGUAAAACUCUGUUAUUAGGGAAGAACAUAUGUGUAAGUAACUGUGCACAUCUUGACGGUACCUAACCAGAAAGCCACGGCUAACUACGUG